GACGAACGCUGGCGACGUGCUUAACACAUGCAAGUCGAACGGAAAGGCCCUGCUUUUGUGGGGUGCUCGAGUGGCGAACGGGUGAGUAACACGUGAGUAACCUGCCCUUGACUUUGGGAUAACUUCGGGAAACUGGGGCUAAUACCGGAUAGGAGCUCCUGCUGCAUGGUGGGGGUUGGAAAGUUUCGGCGGUUGGGGAUGGACUCGCGGCUUAUCAGCUUGUUGGUGGGGUAGUGGCUUACCAAGGCUUUGACGGGUAGCCGGCCUGAGAGGGUGACCGGCCACAUUGGGACUGAGAUACGGCCCAGACUCCUACGGGAGGCAGCAGUGGGGAAUAUUGCACAAUGGGCGGAAGCCUGAUGCAGCAACGCCGCGUGCGGGAUGACGGCCUUCGGGUUGUAAACCGCUUUCGCCUGUGACGAAGCGUGAGUGACGGUAAUGGGUAAAGAAGCACCGGCUAACUACGUG
rnacentral:rRNA from 1 species